GAAAUGUUUUAUCGCAUAAGGUUGGCUAUUAAAGACGCCAGAAUGAAGACGGGAAAGAGUACUUUCAUGAACCAGGAAGCCCGCCUUUGAGAAAGAAAGAGGCUUGAAAAUCAGUGAUGUGCUAUUGGGAGUUGCUGACAACAUUCUCUCUGUUAGUUAACCCUACUAUUUGCACUAAUGUCAGGCAGCAAUAUGGAUUACGAUCGAUUAUAUCUAGGUGACAAAUUCUUCUGUAUGAAUCUAAAAGGUUUCCACUCAAUUCCUUUGUCCAUUAAUCUUACCCCA
rnacentral:misc_RNA from 1 species